GACGAACGCUGGCGGCGUGCCUAAUACAUGCAAGUCGAACGAGAGCGACCGGUGCUUGCACUGGUCAAUCUAGUGGCGAACGGGUGAGUAACACGUGGGUAACCUGCCCAUCAGAGGGGGAUAACAUCCGGAAACGGAUGCUAAAACCGCAUAGGUCUUCGAACCGCAUGGUUUGAAGAGGAAAAGAGGCGCAAGCUUCUGCUGAUGGAUGGACCCGCGGUGCAUUAGCUAGUUGGUGAGGUAACGGCUCACCAAGGCCGUGAUGCAUAGCCGACCUGAGAGGGUGAUCGGCCACAUUGGGACUGAGACACGGCCCAAACUCCUACGGGAGGCAGCAGUAGGGAAUCUUCCGCAAUGGACGCAAGUCUGACGGAGCAACGCCGCGUGAGUGAAGAAGGUUUUCGGAUCGUAAAACUCUGUUGUUAAAGAAGAACAAGUGCUAGAGUAACUGUUAGCGCCUUGACGGUAUCUAACCAGAAAGCCACGGCUAACUACGUG
rnacentral:rRNA from 1 species